UUUAAAAGUGAGCGAGUAGGCUGCGUUUUACGUUAUAUGAGAUUGUCGUUUUGGCGCUUAUUUCGAGCAAAUUUAAGCAAUUAGGAGCAUGUCUCCUCUAUUUCACAGCCCGUCAAAUUAACGUCUGUCAUACAUAAACACUAUUAACAUCAUUUGAUAUUAUAUGCGUUUUGUUUGUUAUUGGGUUGCCGUUUCGUUUUGCAGGGAAAUUAGUCAUCGUCCCUUCUCUGGUUCGCCGGAGAAGAGAACGCCGGCUAUUCUGAAUUGCUCCGGCUCGCUUCGUCACUGAAUUGCUCCGCCUCACUUUCUUCCUCCAUCCCUAAAAAUAAGGAUAGGAAUCUUCACUUCUGCAGUUUACUCGUAAACUCAUUCCUGCUCAAGGCUUCCUUCAGAUGAGUUAGUCUGAUACCUAGCAGCUUCAUCAGAAGAACCAACUGGUGCAGCGAACAAUCCCAGUGAUACGCAGUUACCUCUGUAGAGUGCUCACCAAAGUCUACUAAUUUGUGAAGUUUUGAAGACAGAAGAAAGAAAGCAGUCGUUAGCAGAGAAGUAGACUCAUGUGAGUUAGUUCUUUAAAUUAGACUCUUUUUAUAAGGUAGUAAUGAUCAUCAUUAACAAUAUUCCAAAUAGUUCACUGUACUUUGAUUGAUUCUGUCAUAGUACGGUACAGCUUGUACCAAUUUAAGGUUAA